CAGUCGCCGCGGUAAAACAGAGGCCUCAAGCGUUGUUCGGAUUCAUUGGGCGUAAAGGGUGCGUAGGUGGCUUGGUAAGUUGAAGGUGAAAUCUCGGGGCUUAACCCCGAAACUGCCUUCAAUACUGCUAGGCUCGAGGACUGUAGAGGAGAAUGGAAUUCACGGUGUAGCAGUGAAAUGCGUAGAGAUCGGAAGGAACAUCUGUGGCGAAGGCGACUAUCUGGGCCAUUACUGACACUGAGGCACGAAAGCGUGGGGAGCAAACAGGAUUAGAUACCCGUGUAGUCCCUGUCUCUUAUAA
rnacentral:rRNA from 1 species